UACGUAGGUGGCAAGCGUUGUCCGGAAUUAUUGGGCGUAAAGCGCGCGCAGGCGGCCUUUUAAGUCUGAUGUGAAAGCCCACGGCUCAACCGUGGAAGGUCAUUGGAAACUGAAAGGCUUGAGUACAGAAGAGGAAAGCGGAAUUCCACGUGUAGCGGUGAAAUGCGUAGAGAUGUGGAGGAACACCAGUGGCGAAGGCGGCUUUCUGGUCUGUAACUACGCUGAGGCGCGAAAGCGUGGGGAGCAAACAGG
rnacentral:rRNA from 1 species